AUAAAAGGACAGAGAGAAGCCCUUAUUCUCCAACCGUAAAAUAACACUGAAGACCUACUGUGGGAGAGAUGGAGAAGUUUCUAUUAUUUGCAUGUCUGUUUUUUCUGCCAUUGGUUUUCACUCAGACUUCCAGCAUUUCUGCCAGCCCAAAUGUUACAUCUGUAAACCGUACGACAGUACAAGUUACCACGUCAUCAAACCAGACCGCCAACCAACCCUCCGGGAACACAACAGGUCCAGGCAAUUUCUCUAUGACGACACCCACCAAAACUGACAACCACAGUCACAUUACCACGGGACCUUCUAACAUAUCCGUCUCCAACAUUACAAUGACGACCCACACAACGCUGAGGCUGCAGCCAACUUCUAAAGUUACCAACACAAUGACCAAACCAAAUAGAGGCGCCUCAAACUUGCUAGGCUCUUGUGCUCUUAUUCUGGGAUCUACAAUCUCUAUGAUGAACCUGCUGUGAUCUGAAAAUAUACAUAAUAUGUAUAUAUUGCAUGAAAGGGCUAUUAAUUGCUUUCAAAGUGAGAGCAAAAUUGCUUUUUUACUACUGUCAGAUAAUCCCAUGUAUGUAUUGCCAUGCACAGUUGCUAAAAACAAUCACUAGCCCAAACUACGAAAUUAUUUACAAUAUUCCAUCUUUAUUGUAUUGUUCAUGUAAAUAAAUCACUUAUUUAACAUAAA